rnacentral:rRNA from 1 species
UACGGAGGGGGCUAGCGUUGUUCGGAAUGACUGGGCGUAAAGGGCGCGUAGGCGGCGAUCCAAGUUAGAUGUGAAAAGGCCUGGGCUCAACCCGGGAACUGCAUUUGAUACUGGGAUUGCUUGAGUCCGGGAGAGGAUGGCGGAAUUCCCAGUGUAGAGGUGAAAUUCGUAGAUAUUGGGAAGAACACCAGUGGCGAAGGCGGCCAUCUGGACCGGUACUGACGCUGAGGAGCGAAAGCGUGGGGAGCGAACAGG